CCGUUAGUGCCUGAGAAAAAGGGUUGUUUUGAUAGAACAAAUUAUGCAACUGCCUAUCGGA
rnacentral:tRNA from 1 species